rfam:Schistosoma curassoni strain Dakar, Senegal genome assembly, scaffold: SCTD_scaffold0002040
ACACUGCUGAAGAGUCCCAUAAUAGGACGAAACGGCCGUCCAGUGC